rnacentral:rRNA from 1 species
CACAUGCAAGUCGAACGAUGAAGCCCAGCUNGCUGGGCGGAUUAGGGGCGAACGGGNGAGUAACACGUGAGUAACCUGCCCUUAACUCUGGGAUAAGCCUGGGAAAGUGGGUCUAAUACCGGAUAGGAGCGUCCACCGCAUGGNGGGUGUUGGAAAGAUUUAUCGGUUUUGGAUGGACUCGCGGCCUAUCAGCUUGUUGGUGAGGUAAUGGCUCACCAAGGCGACGACGGGUAGCCGGCCUGAGAGGGUGACCGGCCACACUGGGACUGAGACACGGCCCAGACUCCUACGGGAGGCAGCAGUGGGGAAUAUUGCACAAUGGGCGCAAGCCCUGAUGCAGCGACGCCGCGUGAGGGAUGACGGCCUUCGGGUUGUAAACCUCUUUCAGUANGGAAGAAAGCGAAAGUGACGGUACCUGCAGAAGAAGCACCGGCUAACUACGUGCCAGCAGCCGCGGUAAUACGUAGGGUGCGAGCGUUAUCCGGAAUUAUUGGGCGUAAAGAGCUCGUAGGCGGUUUGUCGCGUCUGUCGUGAAAGUCCGGGGCUUAACCCCGGAUCUGCGGUGGGUACGGGCAGACUAGAGUGCAGUAGGGGAGACUGGAAUUCCUGGUGUAGCGGU